rnacentral:rRNA from 1 species
UACGGGGGGGGCAAGCGUUGUUCGGAAUUACUGGGCGUAAAGGGCUCGUAGGCGGCCAACUAAGUCGGAUGUGAAAUCCCCAGGCUUAACUUGGGAACUGCAUCCGAUACUGGAUGGCUUGAAUCCGGGAGAGGGAUGCGGAAUUCCAGGUGUAGCGGUGAAAUGCGUAGAUAUCUGGAGGAACACCGGUGGCGAAGGCGGAUCUCUGGGCCUUACCUGACGCUGAGGCGCGAAAGCUAGGGGAGCGAACAGG